ACUCCUACGGGAGGCAGCAGUGGGGAAUUUUCCGCAAUGGGCGAAAGCCUGACGGAGCAACGCCGCGUGAGGGAGGAAGGCCUUAGGGUUGUAAACCUCUUUUCUCAAGGAAGAAGAACUGACGGUACUUGAGGAAUAAGCCUCGGCUAACUCCGUGCCAGCAGCCGCGGUAA
rnacentral:rRNA from 1 species